GAUGAACGCUGGCGGCGUGCCUAAUACAUGCAAGUCGAGCGAACAGACGAGGAGCUUGCUCCUCUGACGUUAGCGGCGGAAGGGUGAGUAACACGUGGAUAACCUACCUAUAAGACUGGGAUAACUUCGGGAAACCGGAGCUAAUACCGGAUAACAUGUUGAACCGCAUGGUUCAACAGUGAAAGACGGUUUUGCUGUCACUUAUAGAUGGAUCCGCGUCGCAUUAGCUAGUUGGUAAGGUAACGGCUUACCAAGGCAACGAUGCGUAGCCGACCUGAGAGGGUGAUCGGCCACACUGGAACUGAGACACGGUCCAGACUCCUACGGGAGGCACCAGUAGGGAAUCUUCCGCAAUGGGCGAAAGCCUGACGGAGCAACGCCGCGUGAGUGAAGAAGGUCUUCGGAUCGUAAGACUCUGUUAUUAGGGAAGAACAAAUGUGUAAGUAACUAUGCACGUCUUGACGGUACCUAAUCAGAAAGCCACGGCUAACUACGUG
rnacentral:rRNA from 1 species